rnacentral:rRNA from 1 species
GUCUACGGCCAUACCACCCUGAACGCGCCCGAUCUCGUCUGAUCUCGGAAGCUAAGCGGGGUCGGGCCUGGUUAGUACUUGGAUGGGAGGAAAUAGAAGUCUUAUUAGGCU